AUUGAACGCUGGCGGAAUGCUUUACACAUGCAAGUCGAACGGCAGCACGGACUUCGGUCUGGUGGCGAGUGGCGAACGGGUGAGUAAUGUAUCGGAACGUGCCCAGUCGGGGGGGAUAACGUAGUGAAAAUUACGCUAAUACCGCAUACGAUCUAUGGAUGAAAGCGGGGGAUCGCAAGACCUCGCGCGAUUGGAGCGGCCGAUAUCAGAUUAGGGAGUUGGUGGGGUACAGGCCCACCAAGCCAACGAUCUGUAGCUGGUCUGAGAGGACGACCAGCCAAACUGGAACAGAGACACGGUCCAGACUCCUACGGGAGGCAGCAGUGGGGAAUUUUGGACAAUGGGCGAAAGCCUGAUUCAGCCAUUCCGCGUGCAGGAUGAAGGCCCUCGGGUUGUAAACUGCUUUUGUACAGAACGAAAAGGUUUCUACUAAUACUAGGAGCUCAUGACGGUACUGUAAGAAUAAGCACCGGCUAACUACGUGCCAGCCGCCGCCGUAA
rnacentral:rRNA from 1 species